GCCCCCCUCCCGCCCGCGCAGCCGGCCGCGAGGGCUGCUGGGAAGUGUAGUCCGUUAGCGGGAGGCGGACCGUGGGGGCUGGAAGCGCGCAGUGGGACACCACUGGUCUACCUGAGAGGCCUGGGGCCUCACUGAGAAGAGAACUGGAGACCUCUGUCCCACUGCGCUCUGACAGAAUCCACCCAAAACGCCCUGGAGAAACUUCCACCGUGACCCCUGAGGCUACUGAAAAAGCCUUCAUCCACUCCCCCGUGGAGUCCUCCUGACAGGCCAAAACUGAAGAAUGAAUCACUUCUGCCCAUCUCUCCCGAGGGUUUUUGGGUGGCUGACCAUCUGAGAGUGAAGAAGACACACCUCCUCUCAUAGAAUUCCAGGGAAGGUUCUAUGGAUGAAGACAAUAGGGACUGAGGAGGCUGCUUACUGCCUGAUCCCUCCCACACACAGCUGGAGCAAGUCAGCAUGCGGGAGAACACAUCCAGUGCAGACUGUGAUCCCUACAGUCGGAGAAGAUAAAAGACAAUAAAAGUCCCUCAGUGCUACUUGGCCGAUUGAGGGUUAGUACCAGUCCUAAGAAUGAGACAUCUCUGCCUCUUCAGACUCGGUCAGGAAAUUGAUUGAACUCAAAUCAUCAGGCUUGUUCCACAGAUGAAUCUACCACUAACCAUCUCGUCAGCCCCACACAACCUGGCACAUCACCUUCAUAUUGGCUGCGCUUGCUGCCUUCGAUCUCGAUGUUGAUGCCUUUCGAACUUGAACCAGCCAAAAAAAAAUCUAAAUGAAAAACAGGAAUAAAAAGAGCAAAGUCUGAAACCAAC